UUAUAUCGCUCCCCUUAACCCAUUCGGGUAAAGAGAGGCGGAUCUGGCUGUUCCAGCUAUGCAGUCCGAAUCAUUCGUGAUUCGGGCAUCUAUGCACCUGGAUCAGCUGAAGACCAGAGGCUAACCAAGGACCCGAUAAGGGCCGCAACUGGGUGGGCUGUCAAAGGCUAUAUUCUUAGUUGUUGGUCUGGGACUUUGUGUUCGGCCCUCAAACAGGAACCUAUAAACCAUAA
rnacentral:misc_RNA from 1 species